UAAGGAAUAUUGGUCAAUGGAGGCAACUCUGAACCAGCCAUGCCGCGUGGAGGAUGAAGGCCCUCUGGGUUGUAAACUUCUUUUAUAGGGGACGACAAAGGGUCUUCCUAGAUCAACUGACGGUACCCUAGGAAUAAGCACCGGCUAACUCCGUGCCAGCAGCCGCGGUAAUACGGAGGGUGCAAGCGUUAUCCGGAUUCACUGGGUUUAAAGGGUGCGUAGGUGGGUUAGUAAGUCAGUGGUGAAAUCUUCGAGCUUAACUCGGAAACUGCCAUUGAUACUAUUAGUCUUGAAUAUUGUGGAGGUUAGCGGAAUAUGUCAUGAGGCGGUGAAAUGCUUAGAUAUGACAUAGAACACCAAUUGCAAAGGCAGCUGGCUACACAUAUAUUGACACUGAGGCACGAAAGCGUGGGGAUCAAAC
rnacentral:rRNA from 1 species